rnacentral:rRNA from 1 species
AGUGAACGCUGGCGGUAGGCCUAACACAUGCAAGUCGAACGGCAGCACAGUAAGAGCUUGCUCUUACGGGUGGCGAGUGGCGGACGGGUGAGGAAUACAUCGGAAUCUACUUUUUCGUGGGGGAUAACGUAGGGAAACUUACGCUAAUACCGCAUACGACCUACGGGUGAAAGCAGGGGAUCUUCGGACCUUGCGCGAUUGAAUGAGCCGAUGUCGGAUUAGCUAGUUGGCGGGGUAAAGGCCCACCAAGGCGACGAUCCGUAGCUGGUCUGAGAGGAUGAUCGGCCACACUGGAACUGAGACACGGUCCAGACUCCUACGGGAGGCAGCAGUGGGGAAUAUUGGGCAAUGGGCGCAAGCCUGAUCCAGCCAUACCGCGUGGGUGAAGAAGGCCUUCGGGUCGUAAAGCCCUUUUGUUGGGAAAGAAAAGCAGCAGGUUAAUACGCCGCUGUUCUGACGGUACCCAAAGAAUAAGCACCGGCUAACUUCGUG